rnacentral:rRNA from 11 species
UUAGACCGUCGUGAGACAGGUUAGUUUUACCCUACUUUUGAAGGGUUAUCGUAAUAGUAAUUCAACUUAGUACGAGAGGAACCGUUGAUUCGCGUAAUUGGUAUUUGCGGCUGUCCGAUCGGGCAAUGCCGCGAAGCUACCACGCGUUGGAUUAUGGCUGAACGCCUCUAAGCCAGAAUCCGUGCUAGAAACGAUGAUGUUAGUCCCGCAAAUCUUAGUCGAGUAAAGAUAGAGCUUCGGCUCGUAAACCAUAGUUGGCUGGUCAUGUUCAGUAGGGCGGAAAGGCCUUGCUGUUCUACCGGCGAAUAGCAUUCGAAAUAUUUGCGGGGGUAAAUCCUUUGCAGACGACUUGAAUAGAACGGAGUGCUGUACGCAGUAGAGUAGCCUUGUUGUUACGAUCUGCUGAGGCUAAGCUCUUGUUCAAC